UUUCUUUCUUUCCUUCCUUCCUUCCUCCCUUCCUUCCUUCCUUCCUAACUUCCUUCCUUCCUUUUUCUUUCUCUCUCUUUUCUUUUCUUUCUUUCUUUUUUUUUGACAGAGUCUUGCUCUAUCGCCCAGGCUGGAGUGCAGUGGCGUGAUCUCGGCUUAUUGUAACCUCCACCUCCCAGGUUCAAGCAAUUCUCGUGCCUCAGCCUCCUGAGUACCUGGGACUAGGGGUACGCACCACCACGCCCAGCUAAUUUUUGUAUUUUUAGUAGAGAUGGGGUUUCACCAUGAUGGCCAGGCUGAUUUCGAACUCCUGGCCUUAAGUGAGCCUCCUGCCUCGUUCUCCCAAAGUGCUGGGAUUACAGGCGUGAGCCACCAUGCCCAGCCGGCAUUUUCAUCUGGACUCUGCCAUGGGGCUCAGCAAAUCAGAUGUGACCUGGUGACAGGUGCCAAGAAGGUCUGGCGACCACAGGUUUCUUGUCGGUUUCUGCCUGGGACCCCUGCACCUCCCUACCAGUAUUCCCAACCCAACGAAAGACCGGCCAAGUACAAACCAAGGGCAGCCCUGAAGCCCAGGACCAUGAGGCCUGGAAGGCCCCAGGACAGGUGAUUUGUGGCCCUGGUGUCUCAGGUCAGGAGCAGGGCAGAGCCACCUUCCUCCCUCCCUGUGCGGGGCUGCAUGAGCUCAGGGACCUUUGGACCUGAGAAAGGUCAGGCUCACUUCCUCCCCGUGCCUGCGGUUGGCCGCAGGGGGAAUAUUCUCCUGACCCGAGUCCUGAAGCCCUGGGCGUGGAGUUUCCCUGGACUGGGAGAAAGUAAACACCGAGGGACUUGCCAAGAGGAAAUGGAGAAGCCCAGGUGUUCUGGGCGGAGCUGAGUGUCCCGCAGGGGGUUCCGCAGCUCCUCGCCUCUGGAAGACCAAGGACAGCUUUCCCCAGGGCUACAGCCUCACGCUCCCCUCCCAUCGUGGCUGGGCCUUUACUUGGGGGUGAGUGUCCUACAGACGAGGGGCUUAAAGCUACAGGAAUGCCUCGUCUCGCAGAGCUGGAGGCUGGAAGGCAGAUCGGCCUGUGAGGGCCGCGGUCACUCUUGGUCCUGAGCCCUCCUUGUCCGGCUGCUGGUGUCACGGGCACUCCUUGGGGUUCCUUGGCUUGUGGGAGCAUCGCGCCGGCCCCGCCUCUGUCAUCAGGCCGCCUCCCCUUCUCUUCUCGAAGGACACCUGCUACGGCGAGGGCCUCUCCAGGAUGACCUCAUCUCGUUCUCCACUAAUCACAGCUGCAAAGAUUUAUUUCCAAAUAAAGUCGCCUUCUUGGGUUCCAGGGGACCUGAUUUUGGGAGGCGCUGUUCCCCCAGCACAGGGAUACAGCAGGCCCUUGGCCUCAUCGGACAUCUGGUGCCCGCGCGCCCUCUCACUCACGUUGUCCAGGCCUCUGCCCUUCUCAACACCCGGACGUGGGCGUUCAGGUGUCCUUCCUGCCCUGGCGUAUGCCCCACUUAGCUGAGUGGGGGGCUUAGACCUCCGCCCCAUCUGCAGUCCUCCUGGGGCCUGCCAAUCAGACCCCCUGCAGCUGCAUGGUCUUGGGGCAUUGCUGUAAGGCCCUGGGGCCUUUCUGAAUCCAUCUGCAAGCUGGAGCUGAGUCCAGGAGCUGAGGCCGGGAGCAGGAGGUGAGGUUGCUAGCUGAGGCUGGGAGCAAGAGCUGAGGCCACUGGAGCUGAGGCUGGGAGCUGAGAUGUGGAGCUGGGGCUGAGGCUGGGAGGAGGGGUUGAGGAUACCUGGAGUUUGGGAGCUGGGCUGAGAGGCCAGGGAGGAGAGCCCUGCCACCACCCUGCUGCCCCCCCUCGCCACCCCCCUGCUGCCACCUUGCUGCCACCCUGCCUCCUGUUCCCAGCCCUCUGGCCAGUCCCUGUGUUCGUUUUCUGUUUUCUACUUACCAGAAACUUAGCAGCUUGAAACAGCACCCGCUCGGCACACAUUCCUGUUGGGAGUGUGAAAUGGUGCAGCUGCUGUGGGAAAUGGUCUGGUGAUUCCUCGCAAAGCUAAACAAUUGCCAUAGCACCCUGCAGUUCCACACCUGGGGAUGCACAGCCAGAAAUGAAGACGGGUGUCUGAGCAAAAACUCGGACAUGAGUGUUCACAGCAGCGUUAUUCACAGUAGCUAGAAGGUGGAAACAACCCAAGUGUCCGUGGACCGAGGAACAGAUCAACAGGCCACGGCGCACGCACGACGGAGUAUUGUGCAGCCAGAAAAAGGGUGAAGCUCCCUUACACAUUAUGGCGUGGGUGAGCCUCAGAAACAUGGUGCUAAGUGACUGCGUUUAUAUAAAAAGCUUGCACUGAUGUAAAGUGUCUAGAGUAGAGAAACCCAGGAGAUGAAGUGGAUUCGUGGCUUCCAGGGCCUGAGGGCAGAGGGAAGGGACCGGCUGCUGAUGGGUCUCCGUUUGGGAAGAUGAACGAGUUCUGGAGCUUGCUUGAGGCAGUGUCUGCACAACAGUGUGAGUGCACGGAAUGUGGCUGAAUUGGAC
rnacentral:lncRNA from 1 species